rnacentral:rRNA from 1 species
GACGAACGCUGGCGGCGUGCUUAACACAUGCAAGUCGAACGGAGAAUCCCCGGCUUGUUGGAGUCGAUAAGUUGCGAACGGGGGAGUAACACGUGAGCAACCAACCCCACACGCUGGAAUAAGCUCUUGAAACGGCGUCUAAUACUGGAUACGAGAUCACGCCGCUAGGGCAGGGUGUGGAAAGUUAGCUGGUUUGUGAUGGUCUCGCGUCCCAUCAGCUUGCUGGUGUGGUAGGGGAACAGCAAGGCGACGACAGGUAGCCGGCCUGAGAGGGCGACCGGACCAACUGGGACGGAGACACGGCCCAGCCUCAUACGGGACGCAGGGGAGGAGAAUAGAGCACAACGGGAGAAAGCAAAGUGCAACGCCGCCGCGUGGGGGAAAUCGGCAAUCGGGUAGUAAAGCUCUUUUCGCAGAGAAGAAGCGAAAGUGACGGUACCUGCAGAAGAAGCCCCGGCUAACUACGUG